rnacentral:rRNA from 1 species
GAGGAGCAGAAAACGGGUGGAGGGUCAGAAAAGGACUAGACGACGUAUGCCAAAGCUAACAUAACUGCCGCUUGCCGCCGGACCACGAGCCACCGCUAAACCGGGCCUCACUUCGGUACAAACCGUAUACGAUCUCCCCGCCAGACCAGAGCCGCAACCCACCAGCGACCAGUUAACCCCGCCGCACCACACGCCGUAGACGUAUCCAGAACCCGGCGCGGUACGUGCCUCGACCCCGACCACUAGGAUGGCCUCAACACCGUCCACUAGCGCCGUCGCGACGUAACCCGAUGAUGUACUGUUGGAACGGCGACAAACCUAACUUCAAACCAACCGUACUCACGUGCCCUCCUCCACUCGUUCAGGUUAAAAUCACUAAAGGCAAGGUUUUAAGGCUAAUCCAAGCAAAGGAAACACUACAAGAAGGGUUCAACUAUAGGCACGUAGACCCACGAGGGCUAGACCAACGAGGACGUGGGGAACUUUAGGGCUAAACUGAUGGUCGGAUACCUAGAUACAAGAGGGCCACCACCUCAACUUCCCCGAGGUCCGAUUCCUGAACUGGCCGUUCGCCCUCCGGUGGUGUUAGUCGCCGGUAGAUCGGUAGAAACGGACGAAGUUAUUAAAAGUCAACGAAGUUAAGGAUUAGACCAAGCAUCAUCUGCACGUCUAUCAUCUUAGAACAGAGGCUAUACCAGCCGACCAAUGCCGCUGACAAGUCCACUACAAGUGCCGUCGUGACCAAGCUGGUACUGGUGAAACACGAGAAGAGGUGGUGACGACGAACGAGGCAAUACGCGACCACUCAAGUUAUGUUUAACGAAGUUACCGAACACACACUGGCCCGAACUACUGGACUUUAACAUGAAUAAAACGACUUUUUCCCAAAGGGGGGCGAAAUAUUUAUUUCGUGGUUGUGAAUGUAGGUUCAUUGGCUAUGUUUGCGUGCGGUGUGUUGGGUUCCGUUCUUUGUUCUUACGGCCCGUGGCUGUGUGUUGAAGUUGCUGAUGGUGUUACUCUCUAGCAGGCCCUUCUUCACGUUGCCUGGUGCGGCCUGGCUCCCAAGGUUCUGCUACGGAGGUUCUUCCCGUGCUGGUGCCUGGCAGCGGUAGCAGGCUAGGUUUCUAGUCCAAAAGUGGGCCUUGUGCUGCCCUCCUCACUCUCGUGGUGCUGCCUCGGAUGUCCCUCCUUGUGCUGUAGGCACCUGCGGCGGUGGCAGCUGGGCACAUGCCUGUCCAUUCACUACUUGGGGCCACGAGGUGGGAUGGCGACGUAGGGGCCAGCCGGUUGGUGGACGUUGGUACGGUGGGUUCGCCGGCACCAACGUGCGGGCGUAGGCUCAGCGCGUCAGGCGGAUGUUGGCUGCGCUGAGGGUGGCGGUCCCGGCGGCGGGGCGGUGGCCUGGUGGGGCUCUUCGGGGUUUCCAGUGCAGAACCUGUUCUAGGUACUCGGGUUGGUGGAGUCUUGGCAGCCGCUGGUGUCGGAGUUCCCCUUGGCUCGGGUCUACCGGCCCCCUUCCCCCUCCUCCUCCUCCUCGGGGGCUCCGGCUUACGGGUCUAGGCGUUCUGUCGCGGCCGGUGGCGGGCGACGGCUCCUCCUCCCGCGUGCCUUGGCGGCUCGACGUAGGUACUCUCCGGUGGCCCCUCCGGAAGGGCGCGGCUCGCGGCAGGUUUGGGGUUUAAAUAUACAACGAUAAACUUGACUUUAGAGUAACAUUCAGAACUGUUCCACUUGCUACGUUUUUAUCACAUGACUGAUAGAUUAGCAACAAUCCAAAAGAGGAGAGAUAAACUUCCGCUACUAGAACACCGUUAACCAAGGUAAACUGAACCGCGGACGUGGUGGCAUAUGUGUUCAAAGAGGUCAAAUAAGUCGACCAAAGGAGACAGUAUUAAAGUUUCUUUCCACGAUCUAGGUUAAUCUACUACAUUUUUAGUGACGAUCUAAAGUCCUUAGAGAAUGACAGUCGUAAGAGUCCAUCGUCUCUAGCGGUUAGUAGCAAUUCUAAAAAAAAGUACAAAAUCGCAUAUACCAGUAACACCGUAGGGAACGUAGUAGUAACUUAGGUGUACAAGGUUUUUCACGGGACGUUUACAUGGUUUCUCACAUAAUCGUAGUAGUAUAUGGUAGCAUUCUAUGAUAAUGUUCACUAUCAAACUUCAUCUAGUACGAAGGAGGAAGUAAUAGUACAACAAGAUUGUAGAGCCAAAUCAACCAGGUCUCUAUGUAAACGGUAAGUACAACUAAUACGUCAGCUUCGAAUAGUUAAGUAGCGACUGAUCUUCGAACAGUUAAUUAAAUUACGACUUGAAACAUCAAAACUACAUCUAUUGAGAGACGGACGUUUUGUUUUACUUCAUCAAAUCGAGGGUAUACUUGCACAUAAAUCUUGUAAAAAACCUCCAACUCGAAGUUCUUUAACAUGAAGAAAACGUACACGAAUAUGGAGUCUAAAAAAUUACUGUUGACUUUCUAAAACAGAGGUCACACUAGAGCACUAAUAUGAUGAACAAGUUAUGUUACUUUAGAAUGGAACCCCUUAUGAAAAGAAAAGUUCUACCUUAAAACCAUGAAUCAUAUGAGGAAUGACAGAACAAAAGACCGACCCGAGUCUUAUAGUAAAAGAAAUAGCUUACGACACUGAUUACCUUAAAAAUCACGUGUGGGGCCUUUAAAAUAAAUAAUGAGGUUAAUAGACACAAAAGUAAAGAACAAACUUUGAGGAGCUUUAGUUUUAAUGAUUGCGAAGUGGUAGACCACUUCUUGCCUACGUAGUUGAGAGUAAACUAAGUGUUUUACUAUUUGACAGGGCAAUGGGGGGGGGAAGCCAUAAUAAGUAUAUGAACCAAAUGUUAAAUUUUAAUACUAGAUAAAAGGAUAAAAUUUUAGGUAUGAGUUACAACGAUUUGUGCAGGUUUACCACUUGUCCAAAAAUCAUGUCAUGUACUUUCCGAUUAAAAUAAGACCACUUCUCUAUAGGAUCAAAAAAAGUAUGACGUUACCCGAACUCAACAAAGACUAAAUUUUAAAAAUUACACCGCAAGAGUACGUCCGGAAUCAAAGAACCAAAACAACAAGCGACGUCAGGACCAUAUUAGGAAACAAAAAGAUAUAAACAAAUGGUGCAGACAUAAAUGUGGACUGAAACACGUAACACGGUAAUUACAAUGUACGGACUAGUGCCCGUCGACACACUCGUAACAUGUUGACGUGACUUUCAUUUUCAACGAUGUCGUUAAUUCGCGCUGGAUUGAUACCGGACGCUACAACAACUCGUUAUAUUUUCGGGCUGUAAUGGAUAAUAAACAAGUUGUAGUAGGAUUUUUACGUAUAAUCGAGGAUUUUAUUCAAACAUCUCGUGCUUAACGUUAGAUGAGGAUUUCCUCAUGUUUUAAUUACUCGACGGACGACUUGGUCGUUGGCUUCUACACCCACCACGUCAUUCUGUAUGCAGUUGGUAGAUAAUGAAUUUGUUCUGAGGAUAAACAGGUUAAAAAUGAAAACUAAUCCCUAACGUAUAAAUUAUAAAUGAAAAAGGUCGUUCAUUAAAAAAGGAACCCAAAACGAAGCCUAAAAUAUAAUACACUUCACAACCAAAACGAGUAGGAAUUGGGCAAGAAAGAGGGGGGCGUUUUUUUUGGUAAGAACAUCUCGAUGCAUAAUUUUAUUCUAAUUAAUGAAGAAGGAACCCCAAAGAGAUGGUGACGGUACCUGUUCGCUAGUAAAUCAAGCAACAGUAUAAAUAAAUCAAGGAACAUUAUACAGCAACUACCUAAUACCUCACAUGUAAAGUUUGAUCACAAGGAGAAAAGUCGCAUGUCAAAAGGAAAGAAUGUAAAAGAUUACGUAGUCCUGUCUUUGUCCUGUCUAGCUCGACGUCUCCACACACAUGUACAUUGUUCAAAGGCUCGAGACCUUGAAAAAGCUUUAACACCCCAGUACGUCUACCCCUAAAACGUUGGAGAUUAACCUUUAAGUUUACAGACGCAAAACCGGUCUGGUCACGGCAUGAGUUCUAACUGCACUCCGACAAGAUGAUGUCUUUCUAUCAAAACAGAUGUCUAUAUCUAAACAAAUCUACGAUGAAACAGAUCGUCGG